CCGAGGCGGUCCGGCCGCCGCCGGUUUCCGCGAGAGGCGGCACUUGCGUCUGGGGAUAUGGGCCAGUGUUUGGAGCUGUCAGCCGCCGUGUGCCGGAUCGGCGUUUACUCGUGUUUCAGAGCUUUCUGCUGCAAAGGGCCCCCAUCGCCACGCACUGAAUACGAUGUUGUUUGUGUAGGCCUUACAGGAUCUGGCAAGUCAAGCCUGCUCACACAACUUUGUAGCGAGAGCACAGAUAGCAUCAUCCCCACAACAGGUUUUAGUAUUAAAGCUGUUCCAUUCCAGAAUGCAAUCCUCAAUGUGAAAGAACUUGGAGGGGCAGACAAUAUACGCAAAUAUUGGAGUCGAUACUAUCAAGGAUCUCAAGGGGUAGUAUUUGUUCUAGACAGUGCGUCAUCUGAAGAUGAUCUAGAAACUGCACGGAAUGAAUUGCAUUCAGCUCUUCAACAUCCACAGCUGUGCACUUUGCCAUUUUUAAUAUUAGCCAACCACCAAGACAAGCCAGCAGCACGCUCUUUACAAGAGAUUAAGAAAUAUUUUGAACUGGAACCACUUGCAAGAGGUCAGCGAUGGAUCCUUCAGCCUUGCUCUGUAGAGAACAUGGAUGCUGUAAGAGAAGGCUUCAAUCAGUUCAUCAGCUUGCUUGAAGAGAUUGAUCAAGAGCACAUUCCAGGAAGAAUAUGAAAUCUGCACUGACUGCCAUUUAGAACAUUGAAAUUGAAACUUUUUCCAAAUCUUUAGACACUAUCUAAACUUCAUAGUACUGGAAUGACUUUAUUGAAUGGUUAUUUUAAAUAAUUGUUUUAUAUGAUCCAAUUCCUACAUAUUAUCAAAAACAAAUCAUUUUGAACAGAACACAUAUGUCCCAAAUUAAUCGAAAUAUGAAAUCAAUUAAAUUGAAAUCUGCAGAAAAUACUGAACUUAGUUUUGUUCAAUUUUCUACUUCUGCUUUUGCCAUUUUACUGUAGUUGCAUGAUAUUUCAAUAUGUAAUCAUUUGUAGUGCCAUGGCAGUGGAAGUUUUGAAAAUGAUGAUCAAUGAUAACUGCUGGUCCAUGUCGGUGAACUAAUCUAUACACUGUCAGAAUUAGUCUACAUGAUGGUUGGAUGUGGAGUCUUACACUUUGCUUCUGAUUAUUUCUGUAUAUUGUUGGUCAGGCACACAAUAUAAAGAAGCUGACCAGUGAGCAUAGUGAGAGCACAUUUGUAAAUCAUCUGGAUAGAAAGGAAUGUUUUGUUGUUGUAAACCCCAGUCAUGACGUGUACAUGAUGUGCUAUUUGGUGUUAGCUACUAUUAAAUCUUUGAAAUAGUGCCAGAUGGAUUAAGAAUCUCUGUGUAAAAGAGCAGAACAAAAUAAGUGUUUUGUAGAGUUUUUUAUAUUGCUAUGAGCAUAUGAUAGCAUGUCUAUUGUACAUGUCCAUUGACAAAAUAGAUUGCUAUUGUUUGAAUUUAAUUAAGGAUAUUUUUGAACGAAAUGUUUUGUCUUGAAUCUUUCAUUGGUUUACUCAAAAUCAAAAAUUAGUCAACUUAUCCUAUAAUGAAAUCUUGUCUUAUUUCUCUUUGUCUAAUGCAAUCUAAUGAAUGCAACUUAGAUUUAAAAAAAUCGACAGUACUAAUUUUGUCUUAAAUUUAACAUUUUAAUUGAAAUGUAUUAUAUUCCAAGAAUUUAGAGAGUUCUAAAACAUUAAGUAUUGAAGACACUGUGGUAGAUGCUGCUUGAGCCAUCUGUCAAAUUACUUUUUGUGUGUGUGUGCAUGUUUUGUGUAUGUAUGCAUCAGCCUUACACUCCUUCUCAAACCUGGGACUGUCUGCAACUCUUCAGUAAACAGAAUGAAAACACUAUCAAUCAAUACUCACCAGCAGCUGUUCCUGACAAGCCUCUGUCUGACGCCUAAUGCCUUCCAACUGUCGACAUGGUUCCCUCCCUGUCUACUAUCACCAUCCCUCCCUCCGACCAUUCACAUUCACAUUGUCUCUUUGCUUGAAGUUUAAGAAUUUCAGAUGGUGUUCUUAGAUUCUUCUGUUGGAAUUUGUAUUUUCAUAUCCCUUUCCAAUGUUUAUUUGUCACAUGUCUUGCUGUGCAUACUGUAAAGCUGUUCCAUUUAUCUGUGAUAUGUAUGCUUCUAUUUUACAGUAGGCUUGCUGUAUUUCAUUGUAUUUAUAGAAAUUUUGGAAUUUUUAUACACCAGUAGGAUGCAGCUGCUUUUUUAAGCUUUUCGGGUUUUGUUUAACCAUUUGGCUGCUGAAGGCACAAAAACCAUUCAAGAGCAAAAUACUGCCGAUGCUGGAAAUCUGAAAUAAAAAUAGAAAAUGCUGGAAAUACUCAGGCCUAGCAGAAUCUGCAGAAAGAAGAUAUUAAUAUUUCAGUUCUGUGACCUUUUAUCAGAACAAAACUUCUAAAGUGCUCUUUUCAUAAUUCUGACACUCAUUUACUUGAAGCAUAUUAUUUGUGAUAUGCAAAAUUACAUUGUAUACUAAGACGAGACACAGCAUAAAGAAAAGUUGGCUUAGUGUUGCUGUGUAUUGGUGUUAAAAUGUGCGAUUUGUGCUAUAAAGUGGUAAGAUAUGGAUUCCUACAUUAAAUUUUAUCACACUAAUUUCACAGGUAAAGGGAAAACUCUAAAGCUUAUCCAACCUCAUACUCUUGUUCAUAACAGCUGCUUUAGUGCAUAUUGACAAUGGCUUGGGAACUAUUUGCAUCUCUGCCAUUGUGGCCAUUGAAGUCCCUACAGAGCAGUAGAAUGCAAGAUUAAUCCCACAUCUCAGAGUUCCUGACUUCAAUUGUAUCAUUGUGGAGAAAUACAGAGAUUCACCAGAGUGAGUAGGGAAAAUAAGGAAACCACCAAAAUACUUGUAUCAUAACAAAGGGCUAAAGACUAGGGUUGGUGAGAGCGCUGGGAUAGAUCAGAAGUGUAUUCCCUUCUUAGAUUAACCUGGGCAAGUCAGAGUUUGAAGAAAGUUUUAAGAAAAAAAAAUCAGUAUUUUUCAACAAAGCCAUGGCAACAUAUUUUGCAGAAUGUCCUGUGAAUUUCAUAUGUUAAUAUUGCAUGUAUCAUCCUUUGUAAUUUGGCAGAAUAUUUAAGGCAGAUCAGUCAGCCUUAAAAGAGACAAUAGAUUAAUGCUUCUGGUUUAACCUUUUAUCAGAACACCAAUAACAUAAAAUAUUGAGCUGCCAUUUUCUUUCAAAUUUUUGUUGAUGUGCAUUUCCAACAUCAUUAUUUUUCAUUCUUAAUGGAUAUGCUUUCAAAUGGUGGUAAAACAUUUUAAAAGUAAUGAAAAUAUAACAUAUUUGUAAGCAAAUUUUUCAACUGCUUCAGCUACCAAGUGGUUAAAAUACAUGUAUGCUGUAUGCCACUCCAAUUGAAAAGUAAAGCAGUUCUGCAGGUCAGUGUAUGUAUGACCUGCCAAGCAAAAUCACAGCUGCCUAUGAUGUUUGACCAGUUUUAUCUUUGCUGCUAAAUAACUUGGUUUUCAUUUUGAACUUUAUUGCGUGAGAUUUUUAACCUUUUUUUUAAAAAAAACUUUUCUGGAAGAGGUAAAUAUAAUCUGUAUACUGAAUAACUUAUGAAUUAGGAUGUUGACAAUAGGAUCAGAAUCAUGUAAGUUUAGUGCAUCAUUAAUACUCACAGUAACAUAUUAUCACUGUGACAAUUUGUUAUAUACCUUUAUAUCAUACAUAAGUCACUGUUUAUUGCUUCUUCCAUGAUGAUGUAUCUGAUGCCCGAAGCCAAUGUAAAGCGGGUAUACUUUUUGGGACCUGCUGGAAACCUUCAAAAUGAACUCGAAGGUAAUUCAUGCAGUUAAAAUAUUGUUCUCUUUAUCCUCAUUUGCUGGAAUUUUGUUCAAAUUAAAAUCCUUUUUUAAAAAAACAAA